UUACGAUUACUAAAACUCUGACAUGUCAUCAUCAUCAUUUGCAUUAACUUGCUUGAUACACCUAGAAUGCAUUCACUAGGUCAACAAUUUGCAAAAUUGGGAUGUUUUGUAUUGAGUGUAGGGCUUAGUAUUAGGGCUUUGCUUGAGCUAAGUAGGUGAGAAUCAUCUCUUAGGCGAGUGACAAGUUGACUUGGAGUCUUAAGUACUGAAGGUAAACUUAGAACCUAGAGUAACUUUACCUUUGAAGUGUAAAUCAAGUGGAAGGAUCGCUUGAGGAGAGGGAUCGACUUCAAAACCCUAAAUUGAGCCCAAGAGUGAAAUGGUGCAUAAACAAAGCAACUCCAAAAAUAAGGGCCUUUUUGGCCAUAAGUUCUGAGUACCAAAGUUGGAUCUUAGAUUAAGGAGUAACUUUGCUUUUAGUGGUGGGUCAAAGUUGAGAGGUGGUUUGGAGAAAUAGUAGUCACAUUUGAAACUCUAAAUUAGUCCGAAAAGUGGAAUUUAAAAUCCUUGAGAAUUUGUCAAAAGUCCAUAUAUCAAAGUUGUGGAGCUUGGAAAAGUGAACAAUUUUCAUAUUUGGAGCUCUCCAAGUGAUGUGGGAGAAUUUGAAGUAAUUUGCAAAAGUUCAGAUUUGAGUCUGUUGGAAUCAGCCCAAAACAGUUUUGUUUAUCUGUUUUUGGAUCCCUGUAACAUUUAAUCCAUGAGUAUUUUGGAAACAGUUGCUAUAACAAACUUGUAGAGUAACUAUAAGAGAACAACUUUUAUUGAGUAUUAUAGCCUUAAAACUAUAUGAAAUUAUGAUAAAAAGGGAUCCAAAGUGGGGCUGCCAGGUUUCUGCAUUUUCAGAUUGAGAACAGUAGGUUAAGUCUGAAAUUUCAGUAUUUUGGCUGUUUUUGGAGCUUGUUUGUGGCCAAUCCAUGAAGCUUUGGGCUACGGUGUUUAUAGAGUAAGUGAAGCCCAUAUGAUGUUGAACAAGUCUCCUUAAGUAAGUUUGGCUUGGUCCUGUAUAAAAAGUGGAGUAAAGUUGGUUCCAAAAUCAGCUGACAGGUUUGCACUGACUGCAUUUUUAUUCAGCUGCUGAAAUCUGAAGUUCAGUGAAGGAUGCCUUGUUUGGAGCCAUUUUGUGAUUGAUCUGAGUGGUUUUAGACUAUAGUUUCUAUAGUAAACUUGGAGAGCUUAUGUUGAUAAGUAAGUUCCUUAUUUUGAUACUUGUAAGGUUCUGCAUAAAAAGUGGAGUAAAGUGUACUCAAAGUUGGAAUGUCAGGUGUUGGGGAUUCAGAUUAGUGUAAUAACCAAGUCUGAAUCUGUGUGGUUUUACCCAACUUGGGGGCUUUGUGCUAAUUAAUCUAGGAGGAAUUGGGUUAGAAAUUCUAUAUAAAAAUGAAAGACCAUAUGAACGAGAACAAGUUUCAUACAAAGAAUUGGUCUUGAUACUUUGUAGGAUUUGGAGGUAAUGGUGUUGCAAAUUCCUCUGUCAGGAUUGGUGUGUGCUGUUUCAGUAGCUGAAACUGGGUAUUUCAGUUCUUUUGCUCUGUUUGGUGCACCAUAACUUUUGAUCAGUGUGUUUUCAAUCUUGUGGUGCUAUACAAAAGUGAUAGGAAUAUAUUUAGAGAGUAACUUUUGCUAAGCAAGGUUGAUCUGUUGCUGUGUAGAAUUGGGAGAAAAUGUUCUUCCAAGAUGAGCUGUCAGGCAAAUUGUGCACUAAACAUUAUUCAGUUAGUGCUGCUGAAAUUCAGUGUUUCAUCAUAUUUUGGAGCACUGUAAUUCUUGAUCUAUGCACUUGUGGUCUUGGGCUGAUGCAACAAUCUUGUAGAGCUAUGUCUAGAGUGUAACUUUUGCUAAGUAAGUUUGGCUUCUUGCCAUGGGGAAUGGUGAGUUAACAGGGACUGAACCGGGAGGGUGCAAUGAAGCAGUGGUGGCUGAUUCAGUGAUCCAGUGUUGAAAUUGGCAAUCUAAAGAAGAAUCUUCAGACCCUGCUGAACUCUGCAUAUGUGAUUAAGUUGGCAUAUGAAUAAGUGUUAGUAGGGAUGUAUUAGAGAUGGGCUUGGGAGUUUCUGGCAGAGUGGAACCAAAUGAAGAUGUCUAAGUUAAGAAGGGAUUCAAAGCUAUGUAUGGUGAAGCUUUUUUAUCCGUUUGGUUCCUGCUCACUUCAUUGGAUCAAGUUCAAUGUACUGCUGUGUUUUAUCGUGAAGAGUGGAGAUAUGGAUGAAGUAUAGAGUUUAGGUGCUGAAGGCCUCUCAGUACUGAAAAAUAUCAAGUUUUGGUUCCAUUAAUGCCUGCACGCUUUGGUUCUCUGGGAAAAAUCUCAUUUUCCUUAUCCUCAAGCAGCCGAUGGACAUCUCCGCAUGCCACCUGCACACCUGCUCCACCACGUGCCUCCCUCUCCUUGAUCUUAUAGCAGCCGCUGCUCUUGGACGAUCUCACUCCCCAUAGGUCACCUCCUUCCUCUCCCUUACCCCUUCCACGCCUGACUCUCCAAACGUGAUCUCAAAAUCCAGGAGCUGAGCUCCUCCCGUGCGUCUCCUUCCGACCCCGUCCUUCAUUCAAGCUGCUGAAGCCGUCUCGCAUCCGAGCCCCUCUUCCAUGGUCGUCGUCCUCUGCUUUCCUUGCUCGGCCUCCACCCCGUCAGGUUUGCGCCAGACGUGCCGCUCCGCCAUCUCCCCAAGCAGCCAUGUCUUCCCAGCCCAUCUCACUGCUCAUCCCCAAGUGCACUUCGGCCAUCAUCCUCCGGCGGGCGCCGCCAUGGGCUCGCCUCACCCAGCUCCUUGCUCGUCGUGUUGGCCGCCUAGUCGUUGCCAUCGCUGCUUUGGCCUUCCUCUGGUGCUCGGCUUCCCUAUCUGCACACAACACCGCGCCCAGCACACCCACUUGGCAAAUUCCUGUUCGCCUCUUCUCCAAACUCAUCGGCCAUGCUCUUUCCUCGCCGUGGCGCUCUGGUGGUCCGCACCACCUAGCUCUGUGUCAUCUGUCGUUGUCUCCAUCCUCGCUGUGCCACCAGCGCCUACUCGGAGCUUCAGCUUGUCCCCUGCACAGGCCAUGCCCCUACUCUGCUACAGCUUUGCGUGAUCGAGCAGCACGCCCUAAAACCUGCAUAGCCCUGGUCCGCACCGUCGUCUUCGUUUUGAACCACUUCGGCACGAAGUCAUCCUUGCAACCGCGUCAUAUGUUGUUGUUCCUUGCAGUUCGUCUCGUCAUCACCUUGCUACUGCAUCCGGUGUGGAGCGAUUUGUGUGUGUCGAUAAAGCAAGCGAAGUCCCGCAACGUCCGCCAGGUGUUCGACAAAAAUAAAAAAAUGAGCCAGGUGUUGUCGCCGCGUUCACGGAUUUCUAAUUGAUUUGAGUACGUUAGUGAUCACGUGAUGCGGAGGACGAGAGCCGAGUCGACCUCAAGGUGAUGCAAAGGGUGGAUUACUUCGAGAGACGAUGUCAACGGACCAAGUUCGAGAUGGAUGGAUAUAUCGAGUACCCAGAUGGGAGAUGACCGACAAGCAAAUCUCGUUUAACAAACACUGACUUAAUAGUGUUUAAUCCCAGGCAAGCCCCGGUGCAUUUGCCCCUUCCUUGUGUUUUAAAUGCUUUAUCACCUUAAAUGAUGCAUUAGGUGAUAGGAGUUGUGUGAUGAACAAUUGACGCAUUACCAUUCCUUGGAAUUUGAAUACUAAACCUUGAUCCCUAAUUUAUAAAAAAAGAACUGAUAAUGCUUAAUCCUGCUUAGAAACUGAAAAUCAUUUGUUUUCAAAAAGAAUGAUUGUGGAACAUUGGUUAUGGUCUUUUUGAUUCAAAAAUCAAAGCAAACUAAGGUGAUGACUCCACUUCGGCCGGAGUGGGCUCAUCAUUGGAAAAGAGUACCCCUGUCGGGUGCCAAAAAUGGGGAAAUGGUUAAUAAAUCUAGACCAGACGCUGAGCAGACAGAGUCGCCUGUCUGUGUCGAUUAAGGACCGUACCGUUGACUGGCCUGUUGUGGUUGAGACUUUGCAACUAGCCACAUACCCUGGUAUGGGACAGGGUAAGCUUGAACCCGGCUAUUCCAUAUGUGAAGAGACAAUCAUGCACUGAGAGUGGAGAGAUGGCGAGAGUAGCAUGUACCCUCCUGGCACAGCGCACGCCUGGUAGGUAAUGUGCUCUCGGGUGGCGCGGACCUGUUCAUGUAGUGGAGGACUCCGUGGGAAAAGUUGACAUAUGCAAGGGUUAAGUGCUACAUAUGUCGUGUGGUUAGAGAUCCCCAGCUGGGUAUAAUCGGUUCGAAUCGUCGUUGCUCCUCGGUUAUGGAGACUCAUCCUGGUGACCAUCAUCGUAGUUAGCAAGUGAAAUAUGAGAAUGAAUAAAAUGCAGCUAGUAUAGGCCAAGUGCUUUAACUAGACUAGGCAAAUAUAGAUUCAGGUAAUAACCUAACUAGUGAAAUAAAACUUGGCUUAAGGAUCAACUGGUAGCAAGCUUUUCUGCAAAAGGAGUCUUUGAUCAUUGAUAAACCUUACCUUGAUUCCCAAUCAACUAGCAUACCCUUGAGAGUCUUUUCUUUAGUCGGGUAAGUCUUGCUGAGUAAUUGCGUACUCAGGGUUUUAUCCCCUGUUGUUUUUGCAGGAGAAGUUUUAUUCCCUUAUCUUUUGGUUAGUUACUUCAUGUGGAGGCCUUGAAGCUUAGAAUGUUAUGUGUAUCUCUUAUGGAAAGGCUUCACCCUUCCAAUUAUUAAAAUAAGUUAUGCACUUUGGGUACUAUCAGGACUUGUAAUAAUUACCAUUCUUCUUAUGUUGUAAAACUUGAGCUUUGGAAAUGUAAAAUAUGUUUUGUAAA